GAUGAAGAACGUAGCGAAAUGCGAUAAGUAAUGCGAAUUGCAGAAUUUCCGUGAGUCAUCGAAUCUUUGAACGCACAUUGCGCCCACUAGUAUUCUGGUGGGCAUGCCUGUUCGAGCGUCAUUUCAACCCUCAAGCCUUAGUUGCUUGGUGUUGGGAGCUUAUCUUGCCGAAAGGCGGACAACUCCUUAAAACUAUUGGCGGAGUCGCGGUGACCCCAAGCGUAGUAAUUUUUUUUUUCUCGCUUUAGGUGUUAACGCUGUCUUUCUAGCCGUUAAACCCUCUAAAUUUUUAGUGGUUGACCUCGGAUCAGGUAGGACUACCCGCUGAACUUAAGCAUAUCAAUAAGCGGAGGA
rnacentral:misc_RNA from 1 species